AGGGAGCGAGAGAGAGAGAGAGCUUUUUUUCCUACACUCCGACACGCCCAAUCCGAUACAUCCGAUCCGGCACGCCGAAACGUUGUUCUCCCUUACAUGGGAUUUUCGGCCAUGUCCGAAACAGAAACGGCACCGUUACAAUCCAUGCCUUCAAAACCCCACCCACCUCUCCACAACUUCUCUCUUCCAUUUCUAAAGUGGGGCGGCCAACGCCUCCUCCGCUGUAUGAAACCCGAUCAGGCCGUCGAUCGUAGAUCUCCUCCUUUCGAGUCCGAAUCCAACGGCUCCGGCGCUUCCCCCAUCAGAACUGUGGCCGCCCAGCCUAAAACCUUCCGCAAACCUUCUACCCCUACUUCCUUCGAGAAAUUACGGAGUAUGGCACGGAUCGGAGCUUCGAAGUCUGAAGGAGAAGCGGACGAUGAUGGAAUUGAAGAGAUUCGAGAGAGGCUCUUGGAUCAUCUCCGCUCAGCGGCGGAUAAGAUGAGUUUUCGGGUCCCGGAAGAUGAGGAAUCGACGGCGAUGCCGUGGAAUCUCAGGACGAGGAGAGCGGCUUGUAAGGCUCCGACGGAGAUCGGCGGGAUGCCUCUUCACUCGCCAGCUCCCCUGCCACCUCCGCCGCCAUCAGUGCAGGAGAAUCAGACGAGGUCGAUGCGGUCAAGAGCGGCGGCCACGGCCGCGGCGGCAGCAGCGCAGGGCGGAGAUAAGAUGAAGGAGAAGAGGAAGUUUUCGGUCGCGCUGUUGAGAGAGGAGAUUGAGGAGGAUUUCUACGCGAUGACAGGAUCGAAGCCAGCUCGGAGGCCGAAGAAGCGAUUGGGGAAGGUGCAGCGGCAAUUGGACGCGACUUUCCCUGGUUUAUGGCUGUCCGACAUAACGCCCGAUUCAUACAACGUUCCUGAAGUUCAUGAGUCUCGAAAGAGAUAAAUGCAAUUGCAACUUGGAUCUCUUGAAGCUACAUCAUUUUUCGCAGGCUAACUAAUACCUACCUCUAUGCUGUGACCUCAAUUGGAGAGGGAUGGAUUGGUUUGUUGCAUGGAAGGUUCAAAAAAAAAAGAAAAAAAGAAUCGAUUUGAGAUGGGUUUUCUGGAAAUUUUCAUAUGAAUUGAAUUUGGUGUAAAUGCAUGCAGCAGGCAUUGAGAAUAGUAAAGAUGAGCAGGGGAAUGAAUAUAAUUUAGAGGCUCGUCUUUGUUCGUUGUGAUGAACUGGCCUUGAUACAUUUCCACAGACCAUUGUAUGUGGUGGCUGUACAGUUGGUUAAUCCAGAUCAUCCACUUAGUCGGUCCUACCGCGAAUGGCCCGACGAUGGGAAGCCACACGGACCAGGCACUCGUAGCUGUAUGAUAUAUGGGCUUCAAAUCAACUGGAAAAAGGCUAAAGAAGGCCAAUGAUCCAUGGCAAUGACCAAUACCAAGGAAAUCAGAAAUCUCGUCAACAUGUGGAUUAUUCAUCUGUGAAAUUUUUGUUUUUUGUAUCAAACAAGAGAAAACAUUGCAUUAAGAGCCUUGCCUUUCUGUCUAGAA